UACGGGGGGGGCAAGCGUUGUUCGGAAUUACUGGGCGUAAAGGGCGCGUAGGUGGUUCUGUAUGUCUACCGUGAAAGCGUACGGCUCAACCGUAUUUUGUCGGUGGAAACUGCAGGACUGAGGCUGGGAGGGGCUGGUGGAAUUCCCUGUGUAGCGGUGAAAUGCGUAGAGAUGGGGGAGAACACUCGUGGCGAAGGCGGCUCUCUGGGACGGUACUGACGCUGAGACGCGAAAGCGUGGGGAGCGAACAGG
rnacentral:rRNA from 1 species